rnacentral:rRNA from 1 species
AAAACGGAGAGUUUGAUCCUGGCUCAGGAUGAACGCUGGCGGUAUGCUUAACACAUGCAAGUCGAACGGGCUCUUCGGAGCUAGUGGCGGACGGGUGAGUAACGCGUGAGAAUCUGGCUUCAGGUUCGGGACAACAGUUGGAAACGGCUGCUAAUACCGGAUGUGCCCUUGGGUGAAAGAUUUAUCACCUGAAGAUGAGCUCGCGUCUGAUUAGCUAGUAGGUGUGGUAAGAGCGCACCUAGGCGACGAUCAGUAGCUGGUCUGAGAGGAUGAUCAGCCACACUGGGACUGAGACACGGCCCAGACUCCUACGGGAGGCAGCAGUGGGGAAUUUUCCGCAAUGGGCGAAAGCCUGACGGAGCAAUACCGCGUGAGGGAGGAAGGCUCUUGGGUUGUAAACCUCUUUUCUCAGGGAAGAAAGAUGACGGUACCUGAGGAAUAAGCAUCGGCUAACUCCGUGCCAGCAGCCGCGGUAAUACGGAGGAUGCAAGCGUUAUCCGGAAUGAUUGGGCGUAAAGCGUCCGCAGGUGGCAAUGUAAGUCUGCUGUCAAAGCGUCUGGCUCAACCAGAUAAAGGCAGUGGAAACUACAUAGCUAGAGUAAGGUAGGGGUAGAGGGAAUUCCUGGUGUAGCGGUGAAAUGCGUAGAGAUCAGGAAGAACACCGGUGGCGAAAGCGCUCUGCUGGACCUAAACUGACACUGAGGGACGAAAGCUAGGGGAGCGAAUGGGAUUAGAUACCCCAGUAGUCCUAGCCGUAAACGAUGGAUACUAGGCGUUGCCCGUAUCGACCCGGGCAGUGUCGUAGCUAACGCGUUAAGUAUCCCGCCUGGGGAGUACGCAGGCAACUGUGAAACUCAAAGGAAUUGACGGGGGCCCGCACAAGCGGUGGAGUAUGUGGUUUAAUUCGAUGCAACGCGAAGAACCUUACCAGGGCUUGACAUGUCCGGAAUCCUCUUGAAAGAGAGGAGUGCCUUCGGGAGCCGGAACACAGGUGGUGCAUGGCUGUCGUCAGCUCGUGUCGUGAGAUGUUGGGUUAAGUCCCGCAACGAGCGCAACCCUCGUUCUUAGUUGCCAGCAUUAAGUUGGGCACUCUAAGGAGACUGCCGGUGACAAACCGGAGGAAGGUGGGGAUGACGUCAAGUCAGCAUGCCCCUUACGCCCUGGGCUACACACGUACUACAAUGCUAUGGACAAAGGGCAGCAAGCCAGCGAUGGCAAGCAAAUCUCGUAAACCAUGGCUCAGUUCAGAUCGCAGGCUGCAACUCGCCUGCGUGAAGGUGGAAUCGCUAGUAAUUGCAGGUCAGCAUACUGCAGUGAAUUCGUUCCCGGGCCUUGUACACACCGCCCGUCACACCAUGGAAGCUGGUCACGCCCGAAGUCGUUACCCUAACCUUUCGAGGAGGGGGACGCCGAAGGUAGGACUGGUGACUGGGGUGAAGUCGUAACAAGGUAGCCGUACCGGAAGGUGUGGCUGGAUCACCUCCUUAA